rnacentral:rRNA from 1 species
GAUGAACGCUGGCGGCGUGCCUAAUACAUGCAAGUCGAGCGAACAGACGAGGAGCUUGCUCCUCUGACGUUAGCGGCGGACGGGUGAGUAACACGUGGAUAACCUACCUAUAAGACUGGGAUAACUUCGGGAAACCGGAGCUAAUACCGGAUAAUAUAUUGAACCGCAUGGUUCAAUAGUGAAAGACGGUUUUGCUGUCACUUAUCGAUGGAUCCGCGCCGCAUUAGCUAGUUGGUAAGGUAACGGCUUACCAAGGCAACGAUGCGUAGCCGACCUGAGAGGGUGAUCGGCCACACUGGAACUGAGACACGGUCCAGACUCCUAAGGGAGGCAGCAGUAGGGAAUCUUCCGCAAUGGGCGAAAGCCUGACGGAGCAACGCCGCGUGAGUGAUGAAGGUCUUCGGAGCGUAAAACUCUGUUAUUAGGGAAGAACAAAUGUGUAAGUAACUAUGCACGUCUUGACGGUACCUAAUCAGAAAGCCACGGCUAACUACGUG